rnacentral:misc_RNA from 1 species
GUGAACGCCCUCACGGGCUUAUACUAUUCCGAACCUCUGUGAACCGUGCCCUUCGGGGCUAUUUUACAAACAUGGUGUAAUGAACGUCAUAUAUCAUAACAAAACA